rnacentral:rRNA from 1 species
UACGGAGGAUGCGAGCGCUAUCCGGAUUUAUUGGGUUUAAAGGGUGCGUAGGCGGACGCUUAAGUCAGCGGUAAAAUUGCGGGGCUCAACCUCGUCGAGCCGUUGAAACUGGGUGUCUUGAGUGGGCGAGAAGUACGCGGAAUGCGUGGUGUAGCGGUGAAAUGCAUAGAUAUCACGCAGAACUCCGAUUGCGAAGGCAGCGUACCGGCGCCCAACUGACGCUGAAGCACGAAGGCGUGGGUAUCGAACAGG